GACGAACGCUGGCGGCGUGCUUAACACAUGCAAGUCGAACGGAAAGGCCCUGCUUUUGUAGGGUGCUCGAGUGGCGAACGGGUGAGUAACACGUGAGUAACCUGCCCUUGACUUUGGGAUAACUUCAGGAAACUGGGGCUAUUACCGGAUAGGAGCUCCUGCGCCAUGGGGGGGGUGGGAAAGUUUCGGCGGUUGGGGAUGGACUCGCGGCUUAUCAGCUUGUUGGUGGGGUAGUGGCUUACCAAGGCUUUGACGGGUAGCCGGCCUGAGAGGGUGACCGGCCACAUUGGGACUGAGAUACGGCCCAGACUCCUACGGGAGGCAGCAGUGGGGAAUAUUGCACAAUGGGCGGAAGCCUGAUGCAGCAACGCCGCGUGCGGGAUGACGGCCUUCGGGUUGUAAACCGCUUUCGCCUGUGACGAAGCGUGAGUGACGGUAAUGGGUAAAGAAGCACCGGCUAACUACGUG
rnacentral:rRNA from 1 species